rnacentral:rRNA from 1 species
CGGAGGCAGCAGUGAGGAAUCUUCCGCAAUGGGCGAAAGCCUGACGGAGCAACGCCGCGUGAAUGAUGAAGGCCUUCGGGUUGUAAAAUUCUGUCUUCAGGGAAGAAAAAAAUGACGGUACCUGAGGAGGAAGCCCCGGCUAACUACGUGCCAGCAGCCGCGGUAAAACGUAGGGGGCGAGCGUUGUCCGGAAUUACUGGGCGUAAAGGGCGCGUAGGCGGUUUAAUAAGUCUCAAGGUGAAAACUAUCGGCUUAACCGGUAGCCUGCCUGAGAAACUGUUAGACUUGAGGGCAGGAGAGGGGAGUGGAAUUCCCAGUGUAGCGGUGAAAUGCGUAGAUAUUGGGAGGAACACCAGUGGCGAAGGCGGCUCUCUGGCCUGUUACUGACGCUGAGGCGCGAAAGCGUGGGGAGCGAACGGGAUUAGAUACCCCGGUAGA